UCACACACUGAUGGCGCCUGGAGGUUUGGCGAAAUACUGACAGGAUGCGACGUCAACGGGAGCGCAGGGCCAAGAUACCCUUUAUAUCAAACCGUCUAUCCUGGAGCAGAAAAAUCCUGUCUUCAUUGCUAUAGCUACAGAUUCAGAAAUGAGCAUGUAACAAAUUCAGGCCAAAGAGAGGCAAUGGAAAUCAGAGAAACACUGUUCCUGAAAGCUUCUGUCACUCAAGAAUCCAUGAAACAUUCAUGAACUUCACAUCAGGACCCCAGUUAUUCCAGCUGUUAAAUGGAGUGGAUCAAAAGGCUGAUUAAAUGUAACGGAUUCCAAAGAAUGGCUGGCACAUAAGCUAGAGCAUAUUUGCCUGCCACAGUUAGUUUUGUGUUUCCAUGGAAUUUGAGCAAAACUGAUGCACUUGUCUCCCAGGAUUAAUCCAUACAAGUCACCUCUAAAAUUAUCUUUUCCCAUUCGUUGACUGAGCAAAAUGGACUUCAAGGACCUAAAGGAGGUUAAAUACCACAAGAUGGAGGAGCUUGAGUCUCUGAAUCAUUGUGUGUGAAGUCAUCUGCCAAUUACAUAAAUUGAAUUCUUGGGAAUUCUUGGUAUGAUAGGACAUGAAAGCUGAGAGAAAACCCUUCUACCUAGGAACUCCGGAGUUUCAACUACCAGAGACUGAAGGCAGGAGAGAAAAACUAAGACAAAUGACUUCAAAGCCUUUCUGAAAUGCCACAGAGGGUCAGGAUUACAAUCUGCCUAUUCUGAUUCUUCUACUAUGGGAAAAAAUCUUUUUCAGAAUUGAUGUAAAGCCUCUGUUAAUACUUUUCCUGUUAACAACCUAACUAUUCAACUGCUGAAUAAAAACCAUUAGGACAACUAAAGAAACUGAGAGAUUUUGGCAAGAAAUAGUCAUUCCAAUAUCAAUGACUACGGAGGAAAUGCAAUUACUUUUCUUUGCUUAAGUUUUCCAGGUAUAUUCUAUAGUCAGCAGUAUCCUGGUGACUCAUAAGAGAAGAUUCAGCCAAGCUCGGUGGCUCCCGCCUAUAAUCCUAGUACUUUGGGAGGCCAAGGCGGGUGGAUUGCCUGAGCUCAGGAGUUUGAGACCCAGCCUGGGCAACAUGAUGAAACCCCGUCUCUACUAAAACACACACACAAAAACAAGUAGCCGGGAUUGGGGCGUGCUACUCAGGAGGCUGAGGCAGGUGAAUCGCUUGAAUCCACCAGGUGGAGAUUGCAGUGAGCCGAGAUCACGCCAAUGCACUCCAGCCUGGGAGACAGAGCAAGAUUCCGUCUCAAAACAAAAACAAAAACAAAAACAAAAAACAGAAACAAAAGAAGACUCAUAAAACAAACUUUCAGUUCUGCUAAUAAAUUCAAGGGACUGGAAUUACUACUUGUUGAACAUCACCAUACUAUUUUGUCCUCAAUUUAUCUUGAUUGAGAGAUAUGGUCUUUAAGGAAACAUGCUUUAGUUAUUUGGGAAGAUUCUUCAGCAGCUCAGUGUUUGCUAUGAAGCUUCUAUACUCGCCAUGCCUGUAUUCUUUCUAAAUAAUUGAAAACAGUAAUGGGUUUUGAUAUGGUUUGGCUCUUCGUUCCCACUCAAAUCUCACCUUGAAUUGUAAUAAUCCCCACGUGUCAAGGGUAGGAGCAGGUGGAGAUAAUUGAAUCAUUGGGGUGGUUUCCUCCAUGCUGUUCUCUUGAUAGCGAUUGAGUUAUCCUGUGAGCUAAUGGUUUUGUAAGGGGCUUCCCCCUUCACUCAGCACUCAUUCUCUCUGCCGCCACACUGUGAAGAGGUGCCUUUUGCCAUGAUUCUAAGUUUCCUGAGGCCUCCCCAGCCAUGCAGAACUGUGAGUCAAUUCAACGUCUUUCCUGUAUAAAUUACCCAGUCUUGGGUAUUUCUUCAUAGCGGUGAGAAACUAAACCUAUUUUAGUUAAUAAGAUCGAACUAAAGUAGGUUUCAAUAAAUAUGUUUCUUUAAAAUGAGUCAUGACUAGCUGUAAACAAUGACUUUUUUGGCAUGGCAUUCUUUUUGUGAAAUAUUAUAUAAUUUGGUAAGAUUUCUAUUGAUUUUUAAUUUGUUGCCUUUCUUUUAGUACUUGUCUUCACCUUUAAUUUUUCUUAAUAAAUGCGGAAUUGAAAUGAGCUAAAUUAUUCAGACACUUUGGGAUCAACAUCUAUUUCAUUGUUCAUCUCAGUUAGUUGCAUCAGGACUAUCGCAUAUCUUCAUUCUCCUAUGACAUGUCUUAAAACAAUUUGAUUUCUAACUCAUUUUGUUAACUGUAAUGAAUUCCUUUUUUUGGAUAUGCUAAUAAUUUCCCUUAAAGCAGUAACUGAUACAACAAAAUCUUUUGUCUUCUCUCUCAUCCCAAUUAAAGUGUAUAUGUUUCCUUUUCUGAGGAAGAUUGCUAAGUGUUAUUGAAUACUUCUUUUUCCUCUUCGUUUUUCUAGGAAAGUAGUGCUAUGCUGUGAUUUUACUAAAGUUUAACUGAGCAGAAUUGACUUAAUUAUAUAUAAUGGGACUUAGUUGUGUUUUUUUCUCUGACGUAUUUUCACUUUCUUGAAAUCUGGAAGAGAUUUUUCUCUGAUUAUAUCCAGAGUGUGAAGAGAAAUGAAUUUAAAAAUUCAUUUUGGAAAGUAGAAAUGAAGACUGAAGGCUUAUUCUGCAAGUUUUCCUGAAAUACCAAAAAUAGAAAUGUAGUUGCCAAUUAACUGGGCUAAGAAAUUAUAUUUUUACAUAGUUGCUAGUCAUGAUCAAAAUUAUAAUAUUAGUUGUUGUCUACCAUUUUAGAUUGUCUUUAGUAAGGUAAUUUUAGAUAAAUGUGAACUUAUUUACAAUGUCCUUCAGAAAUACUAGUAACUUUUAUUUAAGAAUAAAAGUUUACUUUAAUCACUUGGUUUAGAUGGUAUCUUCCAGUUUUAUAUAAUGUGAAGCUAGUAUUUUUCCUUUUGUAAUGAAUAAAUGUUUCAUGGGGAGAUAUUUUGAGACUAUGAAAAUAUCUUUUUUCUCCUAGAAUCACUCUCUUUAGACACUAUCAUUUAUUCUUGCCUAAUUAACUUACUUCUGUGAUAGUUUCCAAACGGUGAUUUUCUACUUUCAUCAUUAAAUUUAUGUAUAACAGUUUUAUUCUGUUUUAAAAAAGGAUUUUUAAUUCCUAAUUAUGUAUUCAUUUUUGUCACAGGUACUUAUAG
ensembl:lncRNA POT1-AS1 POT1 antisense RNA 1